GAGGACAAAAAAAAUCCCAGACCUUCUUCCAAAAUCCAAUUCCAUAACAGAAAACUGGCACAUGACCCAUAUUCAGUUGCAGUGUUCCUUUACUUUCUCCCUUCAAAAGUUAAAAGAAACAAAAACCAAAAAACAGAAGGAAAAAAAAGAGGCAGCUACCGAGACACCAGAGGUCUCAACAGUGUAAUAGAUCCAGAGAGAAUCCUGACGGGCCGACGUUCCUUUGGAUUCUGUGAACCUAUGCUUGUUGCUAACUUGCUAUCCUCCCACACUGACCAACAGUAGCACAACCCACGCCAAAAAUAAAAGAAAAAGAANNNNNNNNNNNNNNNNNNNNCUGUGAACCUAUGCUUGUUGCUAACUUGCUAUCCUCCCACACUGACCAACAGUAGCACAACCCA
rnacentral:lncRNA from 1 species